rnacentral:rRNA from 1 species
GUCUAUGGCCAUACCACCCUGAACCCACCUGAUCUCAUCUGAUCUCAGAAGCUAAGCAGGGUCACGCCUGGUUUGUACUUGGACAGGAGACAUCUUCAGGGUCUGAAAGUCU